rnacentral:rRNA from 1 species
GAGUUUGAUCGUGGCUCAGAUUGAACGCUGGCGGCAUGCCUUACACAUGCAAGUCGAACGGCAGCAUGAUCUAGCUUGCUAGAUUGAUGGCGAGUGGCGAACGGGUGAGUAAUACAUCGGAACAUGCCCUGUAGUGGGGGAUAACUAGUCGAAAGAUUAGCUAAUACCGCAUACGACCUGAGGGUGAAAGUGGGGGACCGCAAGGCCUCAUGCUAUAGGAGCGGCCGAUGUCUGAUUAGCUAGUUGGUGGGGUAAAGGCCCACCAAGGCGACGAUCAGUAGCUGGUCUGAGAGGACGAUCAGCCACACUGGGACUGAGACACGGCCCAGACUCCCACGGGAGGCAGCAGUGGGGAAUUUUGGACAAUGGGCGAAAGCCUGAUCCAGCAAUGCCGCGUGUGUGAAGAAGGCCU